rnacentral:rRNA from 1 species
GAUCAUUACCUAGAGUUUGUAGACUUCGGGUCUGCUACCUCUUACCCAUGUCUUUUGAGUACCUUCGUUUCCUCGGCGGGUCCGCCCGCCGAUUGGACAACAUUCAAACCCUUUGCAGUUGCAAUCAGCGUCUGAAAAAACAUAAUAGUUACAACUUUCAACAACGGAUCUCUUGGUUCUGGCAUCGAUGAAGAACGCAGCGAAAUGCGAUAAGUAGUGUGAAUUGCAGAAUUCAGUGAAUCAUCGAAUCUUUGAACGCACAUUGCGCCCCUUGGUAUUCCAUGGGGCAUGCCUGUUCGAGCGUCAUUUGUACCUUCAAGCUCUGCUUGGUGUUGGGUGUUUGUCUCGCCUCUGCGUGUAGACUCGCCUUAAAACAAUUGGCAGCCGGCGUAUUGAUUUCGGAGCGCAGUACAUCUCGCGCUUUGCACUCAUAACGACGACGUCCAAAAGUACAUUUUUACACUCUUGACCUCGGAUCAGGUAGGGAUACCCGCUGAACUUAAGCAUAUCAAUAAGCGGAGGAA